rnacentral:rRNA from 1 species
AUUGAACGCUGGCGGCAUGCCUAACACAUGCAAGUCGAGCGGGUGUAGCAAUACAUCAGCGGCAGACGGGUGAGUAACGCGUGGGAACGUACCUUUUGGUUCGGAACAACACAGGGAAACUUGUGCUAAUACCGGAUAAGCCCUUACGGGGAAAGAUUUAUCGCCGAAAGAUCGGCCCGCGUCUGAUUAGCUAGUUGGUGAGGUAAUGGCUCACCAAGGCGACGAUCAGUAGCUGGUCUGAGAGGAUGAUCAGCCACAUUGGGACUGAGACACGGCCCAAACUCCUACGGGAGGCAGCAGUGGGGAAUAUUGGACAAUGGGGGCAACCCUGAUCCAGCCAUGCCGCGUGAGUGAUGAAGGCCCUAGGGUUGUAAAGCUCUUUUGUGCGGGAAGAUAAUGACGGUACCGCAAGAAUAAGCCCCGGCUAACUUCGUGCCAGCCGCCGCGGUAA